AUAAUGGGUCAGCGACUUAUAUUCUGUAGCAAGGUUAACCGAAUAGGGGAGCCGAAGGGAAACCGAGUCUUAACUGGGCGUUAAGUUGCAGGGUAUAGACCCGAAACCCGGUGAUCUAGCCAUGGGCAGGUUGAAGGUUGGGUAACACUAACUGGAGGACCGAACCGACUAAUGUUGAAAAAUUAGCGGAUGACUUGUGGCUGGGGGUGAAAGGCCAAUCAAACCGGGAGAUAGCUGGUUCUCCCCGAAAGCUAUUUAGGUAGCGCCUCGUGAAUUCAUCUCCGGGGGUAGAGCACUGUUUCGGCAAGGGGGUCAUCCCGACUUACCAACCCGAUGCAAACUGCGAAUACCGGAGAAUGUUAUCACGGGAGACACACGGCGGGUGCUAACGUCCGUCGUGAAGAGGGAAACAACCCAGACCGCCAGCUAAGGUCCCAAAGUCAUGGUUAAGUGGGAAACGAUGUGGGAAGGCCCAGACAGCCAGGAUGUUGGCUUAGAAGCAGCCAUCAUUUAAAGAAAGCGUAAUAGCUCACUGGUCGAGUCGGCCUGCGCGGAAGAUGUAACGGGGCUAAACCAUGCACCGAAGCUGCGGCAGCGACACUAUGUGUUGUUGGGUAGGGGAGCGUUCUGUAAGCCUGUGAAGGUGUACUGUGAGGUAUGCUGGAGGUAUCAGAAGUGCGAAUGCUGACAUAAGUAACGAUAAAGCGGGUGAAAAGCCCGCUCGCCGGAAGACCAAGGGUUCCUGUCCAACGUUAAUCGGGGCAGGGUGAGUCGACCCCUAAGGCGAGGCCGAAAGGCGUAGUCGAUGGGAAACAGGUUAAUAUUCCUGUACUUGGUGUUACUGCGAAGGGGGGACGGAGAAGGCUAUGUUGGCCGGGCGACGGUUGUCCCGGUUUAAGCGUGUAGGCUGGUUUUCCAGGCAAAUCCGGAAAAUCAAGGCUGAGGCGUGAUGACGAGGCACUACGGUGCUGAAGCAACAAAUGCCCUGCUUCCAGGAAAAGCCUCUAAGCAUCAGGUAACAUCAAAUCGUACCCCAAACCGACACAGGUGGUCAGGUAGAGAAUACCAAGGCGCUUGAGAGAACUCGGGUGAAGGAACUAGGCAAAAUGGUGCCGUAACUUCGGGAGAAGG
rnacentral:rRNA from 1 species